rnacentral:lncRNA from 1 species
UAUCACUUUAUGCUGAACAGAAAAUUGUAAAGAAAGGAAACAUGAUGUCAAAAUAUAACAUUAGCACAAAAAGCCCAUGAUUUUAGCAAGAAUGAGGGUGAAAUCAAGUUUUCUGAUUUUACUUUCACAUGGUUCCCUGUUCAUGUCUUCCAAAAGGUAGUGGUCUGAUCUUCAGCUUGCUCCUGUCCUGGAGAAGAUGUAAGGUGGCUUCUGUCAUGAACAGUUAUGCCUGGGGUCAAUUCCAGUCUGAGAAGAUGGCCUGAAGGACAAGGUCAUCACCCACUUGUGAUGGAGACCAGUGUGGCUGCUGAAAUUGCUCAUCCUGAUGUUCAGCAAGCAAGAUGAUUUGCAUGGAAACCACACCAGGAUGCUGGAGGUGGAAGACCCGCUCGCUCUAGAGCCUUCAAAGGACUUAGGACUCAAUGGGGCACGAAAGCCUAAUUCUGAGGAGAAAAGACUUUUUCAACUGAAACCCUGGGAUGUGUCACUGAAGGAAAUGUAAAAGCCAAACAUUUGGACAAUUUGGAAACACGUGUCAAUUUUUUUUCAAGUUGAAACAACUGUUCAAACCACCCUCGUCUGCGAAAAGUUAAAUGGGCAUUUUCCCACCAGGCCCCCUCCCCUUUCUGAGCCCCUCACACUGGGAGUUUCCCAGCUGGCCCGUGUUAGAUGGUGGAUAAGAUGUAGUGAUGGGGCAAAUGUGAUGGAACCACAUUGGCAGCAGCAGCAACUUGAACCACUCUGAAACCUCGUUGGACUCUUGGUUUUAAUUGUCCCAGG